AAAUAAGAGAAAUACGAUGAAAGCAAAGGGAAAUGAGAAGAACACAAGUGAAAUACCCCAAAUCCUCACUCAAACUUCAUUCCGCCAUAACUUUCGAUCCGGAGCUUCGAUUAACGAGCCGUCAGCGGUCACGUGUUUGUCUCGGAAUCCUCUACGAAACCCACCCAACAAUUUGGUGUGCUCAAGUAGUGCGGAAUCACUGGGCCUUGUCCCAAUUCCCUGUGGGUAAGAUGAAAUUAUAUGUAUUGGUGGCAAAUUUGUGGAGUUGGAAGCUAAAUUUUCUGUUUGGAAAUAUUCGGAGCUUUGGGUUUUAUGGAACGGUGGUCAUUUGUGGCGUUCCGAGCUUAGGGGAGAAUUCGGCCAAGAUUCAGGUUGAGAAGCACCACUCUGUAUUCUGGAGACUCGGGUGAAGCGAAGAACUUUUGGGGCUCGGAGACGUAUUUUGUUUAUAUUUAUGUGGUAAUGAAUUUGGUGGUGAAAGAUAACCAAGGGAUUCACAUGAUGGUGAUUCAUAUGGGACUCGUUCAAAGGAGCAUCGGGUUCUGAUGUCCCUGCUUCACCUUCUGGAUAUGAAAGGGAGAAUUAUAGGAAUGAGAGGAGGCAUCACAGAGAUGAGUCCAGAAGUGGUAGCAGAAGACUGCAACAUGUUGACAAUUUUGAAAGAUGAAGUGACUGAUAAGUCCGAGUUUGGCGAAGAACACAAGUAUGAGAUUACUGAAAGCAUGCGCGCAGAGAUGGAAUAUGAUGCUGACCGGGCAUGGUAAUUAUGAUAAUUAAACUUCAUUUUGAG